AGAGUUUGAUCCUGGCUCAGAUUGAACGCUGGCGGCAUGCCUUACACAUGCAAGUCGAACGGCAGCACGAGAGCUUGCUCUUGGUGGCGAGUGGCGAACGGGUGAGUAAUAUAUCGGAACGUACCCUAGAGUGGGGGAUAACGUAGCGAAAGUUACGCUAAUACCGCAUACGAUCUACGGAUGAAAGUGGGGGAUCGCAAGACCUCAUGCUCAUGGAGCGGCCGAUAUCUGAUUAGCUGGUUGGUGGGGUAAAAGCUCACCAAGGCGACGAUCAGUAGCUGGUCUGAGAGGACGACCAGCCACACUGGAACUGAGACACGGUCCAGACUCCUACGGGAGGCAGCAGUGGGGAAUUUUGGACAAUGGGCGCAAGCCUGAUCCAGCAAUGCCGGGUGAGUGAAGAAGGCCUUCGGGUUGUAAAGCUCUUUUGUCAGGGAAGAAACGGUGGACUCUAAUACAGAUCACUAAUGACGGUACCUGAAGAAUAAGCACCGGCUAACUACGUGCCAGCAGCCGCGGUAAUACGUAGGGUGCAAGCGUUAAUCGGAAUUACUGGGCGUAAAGCGUGCGCAGGCGGUUGUGCAAGACAGAUGUGAAAUCCCCGGGCUCAACCUGGGAAUUGCAUUUGUGACUGCACGGCUAGAGUGUGUCAGAGGGGGGUAGAAUUCCACGUGUAGCAGUGAAAUGCGUAGAGAUGUGGAGGAAUACCGAUGGCGAAGGCAGCCCCCUGGGAUAACACUGACGCUCAUGCACGAAAGCGUGGGGAGCAAACAGGAUUAGAUACCCUGGUAGUCCACGCCCUAAACGAUGUCUACUAGUUGUCGGGUCUUAAUUGACUUGGUAACGCAGCUAACGCGUGAAGCAGACCGCCUGGGGAGUACGGUCGCAAGAUUAAAACUCAAAGGAAUUGACGGGGACCCGCACAAGCGGUGGAUGAUGUGGAUUAAUUCGAUGCAACGCGAAAAACCUUACCUACCCUUGACAUGUCUGGAAUCCUUGAGAGAUCAGGGAGUGCUCGAAAGAGAAUCAGAACACAGGUGCUGCAUGGCUGUCGUCAGCUCGUGUCGUGAGAUGUUGGGUUAAGUCCCGCAACGAGCGCAACCCUUGUCAUUAGUUGCUACGAAAGGGCACUCUAAUGAGACUGCCGGUGACAAACCGGAGGAAGGUGGGGAUGACGUCAAGUCCUCAUGGCCCUUAUGGGUAGGGCUUCACACGUCAUACAAUGGUACAUACAGAGGGCCGCCAACCCGCGAGGGGGAGCUAAUCCCAGAAAGUGUAUCGUAGUCCGGAUUGUAGUCUGCAACUCGACUACAUGAAGUUGGAAUCGCUAGUAAUCGCGGAUCAGCAUGUCGCGGUGAAUACGUUCCCGGGUCUUGUACACACCGCCCGUCACACCAUGGGAGCGGGUUUCACCAGAAGUGGGUAGCCUAACCGCAAGGAGGGCGCUCACCACGGUGGGAUUCGUGACUGGGGUGAAGUCGUAACAAGGUA
rnacentral:rRNA from 1 species